GAAGAGGAGGAGGAGGAGGAGGAGGAGGAGAAGCCGCUAGCUAGCUGCAUCUAUAAUACUAGCUUUAAUAUUAGCGUUUAGAUUGAUUCGAUUUAGCGACCACUUUCUGUCUCAGGAGCUUUAUCACACUCGCUUUUUUCUUUAGGAGCAAUGGCAUAGCAGACACCUUUAAUACAACACACACACACACGCACACACACGCACGCACGCACGCACGCGGGCACAACAGCUGCAUACUUUCAUAUUAAAUUCACAGAGAACAAUACAAAACCCCCAGCCAACAUCCAUCUCUCCUCUUCCAUCACAUCCAUCCUGUCUCAGGUUAUUCCACAAACCACAAACCCACCGGGAGCACGUGCAGCCCACAAACUCAGAAAUUAAAAUAAAAAAUUUUUUUAAAAAGAAUUUUUUUAAUGCAGAUUUUAUUUUCAAUUAAGAGAGAUGUGCAUAGUCUAUGAGCUAAUCCAGGGGUAUACUGAGCGCGCGCUAUUAUUAUUAUUAUUAUUAUUAUUAAUAUUAUUAUCACGCUCAGCAUGGAUGUCCCCGUGAAUCUCUGAACACAUUUCAGCCCCUAAAUCUGAAUGAAUAUUAAACCCAGCUACAAAUAAUAAUAAUAAUAAUAAUAAUAAUAAUAAUAAUAAUAAUAAACACUCAUACACUCGGGAGUGCGCGCGAGCGUCUAAACCUUAAUAUAAACACAUCAAAAGAACUCGGCGGAUUUUCUACGUUAUCUGUAAUAAACGCACGCGCUCACAUCCGAAUCACGCUCGGGUUUACCGGAGUGUUGGCUUGUCUGUUUGUUUGUUUGUUUAUUUGUGUGAGGAAUUUGACUUGACGGGGUGAUUGCUAAUUUUUCUUCCUUUCUUCCUUUGAUUUGAGCCAGCGUUCAAGAAAGUAAACAAACUAGUGCUUAUAAGCGCGAAUUUCUCUAAAGUUCCUUCAAACCUCGGAUCUCUUCCGUACGCGAAAUAAAUCCGACUUCUAAAAAAGGACAGGCGGGGGGGUUAAAUUAAAAAAAAAUUAAAAACAACAACAACAACAAAAACCAACAAGAACAAGCAAAGCAUCAUGAAGUUGAAGUUUGCCUUAUUUACCCCUGACAUGAGUGUAUAGCGUACGAGUGUGUGUGUGUGUGUGUGAGAGAGAGAGAGAGAGAGAGAGAGAAGAGAGAGAGAGAGUGUGUGUGUGAAAGUGUGUGCAUGCCAUUUUUGAGAAAACAGCCCGACACAGAUAAUAUUUAACACCCUCCCUCUAUCUCUAGCUCUCUCUCUCUCUCUCUCUCUCUCUCUCGUUUCUUACCUUUUCUUUUUCUCCGCUGGCGACAGCGUUUCACAGCUUUCUCCGGUUUUAAUUGUCUUCCUUAUCCGGACAAGGUUGGACUUUUCUUCCUUUUCCUUUUUUUUACAUUUAGUAUUUUCCCUUACUUUGUUUCAUGUCUCACUUCCAUCUUCUUUCAUCUCAUCAAUAAACACACGCUGCAGCCUACCUUCGGAGAGGAGGAGGAGGAGGAGGAGAGAGGGAGAGAGAGAGAGGGAGAGAGAGAGAGAGAGAGAGAAAGAGGGGAGACCUCGGCCACUUUCAGCGCUGCCCUCCCAUUAUUCCUCCGCUAUUGGUCGGAGACGCGAUCAGGACACGCCCACUUCUAACUGCGAUUGGGACACAGCCGCGGCGGGGUUAUGCUAGGCUAACGCUGUGUGCUAAAAGACAGGAUCCGACACAAACCACUUUACCCCAGUCACAGACUGACCUCGAGGCGACGUAAGGGGAACGCUCGCGCUCUGGUCGACCAAUCGGAGCGAGAGGACGCGCGCGGAACUUUGUUUUGCGUUCUCCAAUGGAUUUACAGCGUCGUAAUGACGGACACCAAAUUAAUGCAAUAGUGCUGCCCCGAUCUAACCACCUACACCCCCCACCACACACACACACUUCCCCCCUGUAACCCCCACCCUCUCUUGUCUAGACAGUGACAGGUGUGUGUGUGUGUGUGUGUGUGUUGAAGUCUCCAGUCUAGACCAGGAAUAAUUACUCUUUCACACUGUUUUUUUUUAUGUUGUUGUUGUUGUUGUUUUCCGCGUAACUUACACACCACUAAUGCAUACAUAUGCUAAUUUUUUUGGAAUCGUUUUUUUUUUUUUUUUUUUUAAACAUGCUACAAGGAGAUCGUGUUUUAGCCACACAAAAAUACGGCAUUUCAAUAAAAAACACCAUUUCGCGACACGUUAUUACAGGUGACAGGCGAAUGAGUCGCACAUCUGAAAAUAAAACACACACCAAACAACUGAACCGUUUUCACCCUGACCUUGACUUCCGGGUUUAGCAAUAAAAAAUAAAUAAAUAAAAAUCGGUCACAUCAAACAUUCGCUAUUGUUU
ensembl:lncRNA